AAAAAAAAAAAAAAAAAGAACACAGAAAACCAAUCAAGUAUCAUGAAAACCAGAGUACUUGAUUGCUAUAAAAUAGAAAACGUUGAUUUCUUCAUAUUGUUGUGUUACGAUUGGAAAUCUUGUACCAAUAACUCGUUCUGGAAAGGGUCUUUGAUUUGCAAUGGCGGCAGUACACAAUGUGAUGGAAUCAAAAGCUUUAAUUCUAUUGAAAAGUUUAUACUUAAGGAUUGAUAACCAUACAUAUCAAUGUAUAGAUAAGCUACACUAUACACUUGAUAUGUUAUGCUAAAAAACUAUAAAAAAGUAUUUGGGCCCUAUAUAAUUGAUUGAAGUUCAUUUUGAAGUACACAGAUUUUGGAUUUAUGAGAAUAAUUAUUAAACUGUUGUGAAGGAACGUUAUUAACUAUUUUACUUUGCCGACAUUACGUGUAAAGAAACUUUUACAAAAAACAGAUUGAUUGCAACUAAAAACAAAAAAUUUACAUCAAACAGCCAUUCACAUUUUGUUUGAUAAGCAUGCGCUGUCUAUUAAUAUAAAAAAUAUUAAAUGCUAAAUAUAUUUUAAAUAUGAGAAUUUGAAGUAUUAUAAAGACGUUUGUCUUUUAUAAAAAAAAAUUUAUUGUCUUAUUUAUAAUGAAGCGAAUUUACACAGAUCAAUAUAUUUUGGAUGCUUUGUGUUUGAUGUGUGAAAUGCGUGUAAAGAAAAACUCGUUUACUAUAUUAACUAUAUUAUU